rnacentral:rRNA from 1 species
GCACCAUCCGGGUUGAUUCCCGAUGGUACGUCUGGGUUGAAGGGUCAA